rnacentral:misc_RNA from 1 species
AAAGUCGUAACAAGGUUUCCGUAGGUGAACCUGCGGAAGGAUCAUUAAUGAAUAAAAGGGUGCCUUCUUCAUCAGAGGGGCCCGACCUUCAUUCUUCUACACUGUGAACUAUAAAAUUUGACCUUGGGCGGGAUUCACGUCCUUAGCCAGAGGUUUCACUUUUUUAAACUCUAAAAAGUCUAAGAAUGUAUACAAACCAAAACAAAAGAAAAACUUUCAACAACGGAUCUCUUGGCUCUC